GUUUUGUCGAAAUUGUUCACGGCCCUACCAUGACGGAGAAUGUCAAUCAAGUGAGGCUGCUGCUGGAGCAUCUGCUUCUGGAAACACAGCAGCAAACAGGUUUCAGGUCACUGAAGCGAAUAAUCAACGAGCAAGAUGGAACGAACAAUCUGAAGCCCAUAUAGAAAAGAACACUAAAAGAUGUCCCAAUACCAAGUGCAAUGUUCCAGUCGAGAAGAACGCGGGUUGCAAUCAUAUGACAUGUUCAAGAUGUGGAUUUCACUGGUGCUGGAUUUGUCGUGUUCCUUGGGACAGGAAAUGUCAGAGAAACCAUUGGUUCAAUCAUUGAGACUUAAGGUUAGAUUCGCACUUUCACAGCAACUUCAUAACUUUGAAAUCCGAAUGAAAAUAAUCGCAGGACCAUUGCAUAAUUUGUUUUAAUGUAAUCCAGAGCUUACGGCUACGAAAUCUGGUACCACUACGAGAUUUUCUUAGUCGAUUUUCCGACGGUUUCAGCCUUUUUAGAUUCCGUUUUGGAAGCGGAUAUUCAUUUAAAAUAUAUCUUGUAAAGUCGUACAAGAUUUCGUGGACGUUGCGAAGCUAAAAGUUCCCUGAUAACUAGCUUGGUCCAAUUCACUUCUGAGGUAUGGAAUGUAGUCUGUUUUCAGUCUGGUGUUUGAUAAAACAGUACUGCAAUGGCUUCAGUGCAUUUGCUGCUCGCAACAUUACAAGACAACACACUAUAAAACAUCCACCAGAAGUGAAUAGACACUUCCCGAAUUUGCUCGAGUGCAUGCAAAACAAUAGCUUGGAGACGAGACGGGCGAUGUAAUCUAUUGUUUCUGGGACGGUUUUCAUUCCCGGGAAUAAAUUCGGGACUGAGUGUCUAUUAGAUCGAACAAAAUUGGAUCGUGUUAACAGAUCUUGAGAAUUAAGAAUAAACAUCACAAGACAACAGACUGUAAAACAUCGAUCAGAAGUAAAUUGGAUCCAACAAAAUUGGAUCGUAUGAAAAAUGAACAGACCUUUAGUUGAUAACUAACUGCACAUGUAAACACAAUUUGUGUCAAUUAUUUAAAUUUCUUCAACGAGAUUUCACGUAAGUGUUAACGCACUCUAAAUUCACGCAUAAUAAUAAUUAGUAAUAAAUUUCUUCUUCAUAAUUUUAAGCAAACAAGAAGACAACAAAACUGUUAACUUUUGUUUUUUAUUCAUUUUUCUGCGAAUGCAACAUUGAACUGUCUCAGUGUACUUAAAACAUAGAGCUACUACGAUAUCAUUAUACGACCAAGUAUUUCAGCCACAAAUGUACUAAACUUUUCAACAGAAAGUCAACUAAAUCCCUUUGAAAUAACCUCGCAACUAUAAUGUCCAUCAUUCUGUUCACGCGAGCUCGAUAGCAAAGGCCUAGAUCCAAGUUAUUUGAGAGAAACUCUUGUUCUCGUCUGUUCAAGCAAUGAUAGUUGAUGAAACUCUCAUGUAAACUCUCGCUUGUCAACUCUCA